UGGCAGUAUAUCGUAAUUGGGUGUUACUCGAUGAGUCUUGGCACUUGUGGUGUUCGUUCUUUACGUCAGAUGCACAGGAAUCAAUCCUGCGGACUCAAAGCUACCUCUUUGCAGCUAGCAAGUACCUGAGCUAAACUUCUUUGCAAAAACAGAUCGUGGAUUUGGCAACCUUGACAGAUCGCGUUGGGCAACGAGAUUGGAGGCAUGUUUACUCCCAGCGACGAACUCGCGGAGGAACUGUCCCAAGCGUCAAGCGCCGCCGGAGAGAAGCUAUGGCGGAUAGAUGAUGAAGUCGGGAAUCGCGGACAUGGUGAACACGGGUGGACGUCCUGGCGGAUCCAUAACGGCGUCGCUCUUCUUGAAACAGUUUGUCGAUGAGAAAAUUCCUUGGGCUCAUCUCGACAUCGCUGGACCCGUGUGGAACGAGAAGAAGAAAAUGGCGACUGGAUUCGCUGUGGGGACCUUGGUGGAAUGGGUUUCGAAGCACGCAUCCUCCUCAUAAAGUAAAAAAAAAGAGGUUGGUUUUUCCCACAGCAGGAUUGUUUCUUGAGGCUCAUUUUUGCUCGGUCGUUAAACAAUUUACAUUUAUUA